UAUUCAUAUGUAAUGCAACACUUUGGGAGCGUGAUUGUUAAUAUUUGUAGAAGCAACUCUAUAUAAGCGUGCCCUAAAUAUUUUUAAAAAUUUCCGCUAUAAUUUCCCCCUAAAAUUUUUACUGAAAAACUAUGCCCUAAAAUAUUCGCUAAAACAUGUCUCUCAUUUUUACACGAAAAUCUCCUUUUUUUUCCUUAAAAUUUCAUAAUCAAAGUUGAGGGCUCUUCUCGUAUCUUUUAGCAGAUUGAUUGAAGCAAAUUAGAGUGAGUUCAAUUAAAUCUAUCGGGUUCUGUGGAAAUCACUCACGGAGAUGCUAAAUUUUGUCUCGGUUAUGUGCCAUCCGAUUCAAUUGGGAAUCUCAUUGUUUAGGGUUUACUAUCAUUUCUCAAAACUUGGAUAAGAUGACUGCUAAUUUUGAAAUUAAGCUCUAUUAUUUUGUGAUGGGAGGUUAUUAUUCUUGAAAGGUGAAUGCUCUUCUUCUUUCAUACAGUAUUUGCUCUUUAGAGCAGGUUGAAAUAAUUGGGGAUUUCAUUGUUUAGGGCUUACAACCGCAUCCAAAAACUUGGGUAAGACGACUGCUAAUUUUGAAAUUAAGCUCUAUUAAUUCGUGAUGAAUGUUGUUAUUCUUGAAAGGUAUUCACUCUUUUUUUCCAUACGACUAACACUUACAAGAUCAUAUUUUUUAUCUUUCAUUUUUCGCUUUAGAAACCUGCGAAUAUGACAUUUUUGUUAGAUGAUGAGUACAUAUUAUUUUUAUGCGUAUUCGAAGGUUGACGACGUCUGCAUUUUUGUGCAUAUUCUUUAGGUGGUGGAAGUAAUUUAUUUUUGAUUGAGGAUUAUUCAUAUGAUACACUCGUCUAUUGAGGUAAAGUGUAACUGUUAAUAUCCACUUCCAGUGUGUUGUUGUUCAAUACCAAAAAAUGAUUCAUUUCCAAUGGAUUAUUAUCAAUCAACUAUUUAUCAGUUGAAAGGGACAAAGGUCACGAUGUAGAUGUACGUAUGUAUGUGGAGGAUUGUUGCUUAGUUGUUAAUAUCCUUGAUGUUUAAAAAAAGAAGAAAAAUUAAGAUUAGCAACUUCUUACCGCCUGAUCUGUUCUUUUGAUAGAAAUUUUUUAUAGCUCUUGCUGCUUAGUUUCCCGGUAUUGAGGUUUAUAUAGCUUUGGUUAAAGCCAAUAGUGUGCAUGAUUCAAUUGAAUUUUGGGCUUGAAAUGAAUAUGAUAUUUUAUGGAUAUGUUGAAAGCAUGCUCUGAGUUGUUAUUACAGUGUUCUUUGUGUGUUUUGGGGAGUAUAUAUGCUAAAAUAUUUGAAGAUUUGGUUAGGUCCUAUGCUUGUUUAACUCGGUUUAAAGAAUCUGUUGGGUUAGAAUAUAAUAAUAAGUAUGUCCCAGUAUAUUUGUUUAAACCAAUUUGCCACCCACAUUAGAAGCUUUAUCGUCUAUUGUAUCAAGUUAUAAUAUUGAAUUUCUUCAAAAUUAAUUAUUUACAAAAAGCUCAUUAAAAGAGAGGGAAAACACACACAUAGGAGAAAAAUGAAGUAACAAAAAAAUUUCUCUGGAAGAAAUAGUUGAUUCUUCACGUACUCUUGCAAAAAUUUGUACCAGCUUUCUUAUUGUUUAGAAAAAAUGCCAAUUUAAACUGGUUAGUUUAUCAAUGGACCCUUUUUUUCUAUUUCAUUAUUGUUUUACCAUUAUGUCUAGGAGAAUUUCAACCAUGUUGCUAGUCUUUCACAUUCCCUUUUUAAGUACAUACUCAUUUAUGGGGAUUUCUUUGCUUGGUCAGUGAAUCUUGUUAAUGAUCUUGGUGUAAAAUUAUCAAGAGGCUAGAUAAAUGUAUAGAUGGAUAAUUGUCCACUUUGAGAUGAUCUUUGAACUUAAUCAGUUGUUGCAGUUGUUUUCCUGUUAAAUAGUGGAAAUCUUCAGACUUCUAGCAGUUUUAACUCCCCAAGGGAUACAGGGCGACUCAAGGUUCAAGGCUCCGAUCGUUCAUGCACUUUCGUAGAGGUAAUCUCAACUAAUAAAUCUAAAAGCUUUUCCUUUUCUAUGUUCUGGCGACUUCUUAUUGUCCAUAUAUUUUGUUACUUGAAUCAUUCUAACAUAAGAUUACAUUUUGAUCUUGUAACAUUUAUAGAUUUUUCUCUAUUAUUAUAAUUUGUUUUGGGUCUUUUGUAUAUGUAUAUCUCAUACAUAUUGAACAAUUUUGGCAUCUUAUGAAUGCGCUGCCAUUAUUAUUUGAAAGUAGUGAGUUCAUCCUUCAUACUAACUCACAUGUGAAAUUUGAUAAUCUUGUGGGAAGGUUAGUUGAUAGCGAAUAGUGUAUGGGUUGUGAGGCCAACAUCUUCUAUAUUCCUCGAGAUCAAUCAUGAUCUGAUUCUUGAAAAGGUAGUUUUUGAUUGUUUUGGUUAUCGUGGCACGCUCCACCUGUUUUAGGUCAAUUUUGGAUAGUGUAGGAGCUAUGUUGCUCGAACUCUUCGAAAAUAUUAUCGGGUGCGUGUCAGAUCCGCCAAAAGUAGUGCAUUUUUAGAGGAUCUGACACGUGAGCGACAUCAUUUUGGAGAGUCCGCACAACAUAGUGUAGGAGCAAAUUUGACUCUUCUUUCUAUUUGAGUAAAGGGUUAGACACCAUUUGUUUAGAAUUAUAUGGACAAGUGCCUAGAGUAUAGUCUAAAAUUCUGAAAAGAUUGGUAGCUAGGGAAAACAUGUCAAAUAACAUGUAGUAAUAUUAUUAUCAGCUAACAUUGAGAUUGGAAAAUGAUCUAAGUAUAAUUAUGAAGAUGUAAGCCAAUCAGUAAUGUAAGAAUGACUAAAUUUUUAUUUUAAGAUAAGUGAUCAAAGUUAUUUAACAAUAAAAUAAAACUAAUCAGGUUGAGCUGGGAAAUAAAAAGUAAGUUGAAUUGAAUAUAGAUGAUUAAAUAUUUGACAAUGCAAAAAUACAAAGGAAUGCUGAUUAUAAAGCAAAAAUAUAACUGGCGGGAAUGCUGAUGAAUAUUUAGUAGUAUAGCCUAUCCCUGCUAGUUUGGGUUAGGCUUAACCCUUAGUGGUCGUUUGAUACGAGGUAUUAGGUGGGAUAAGAGUUGGGAUUAAAUUUAUAUCUUGUUUGGUUGGAGGUAUAAAUUUACCCCGUGAUAUAUUUGUACCUCUAACCAAACAAGGUAUAAACAUAAUCUCAAAUCUUAUCCCAUUUUAUCCCACUUUAUAGUUUAUACCCUAAAUUAUGGGAUUAUAUUAUUCCAUCUUUUAUGUGGUAUAAAUUAGUACCGGGAUUAUAAUCCCGGUACUAUUUUGUCCACGUACCAAACGACCCCUUAUAUUUUUAGCAGAUAUUUGUUCUUAGGAUACUGUUUGGUAUUUAAGUUUUUGAGGGAACUCUGCUAUGUUGCGCUAAGUCUGCACUUACACACUUUUGUUUCUAUCUGUUUAAUAAUUUUAUUUUGCAUAUGUAGGAAAGUUCUGGCGAGCAAUUGGAAAUGGUGGCCAAAGACAAUUUCAUCUAUGAGAAUUUAAUGAUGACUAUGGACAAUUAAAUUUUUUGUAUUCACGAUACUAUAGUAGUACGUUUGGAUUUGUAAAGUUGAAAUACUAGCAUGGCCCUUGAAACAAUUUGCUUUAUACAUUAAUUUAGUACACAAGAUUUACUCCCUUUUGAAUUA
rnacentral:lncRNA from 1 species